GGCGGCCUGGGGGUAUUGGCCAGGAUGAAUGGCCGGCCAUAUCUCACAUUGUAUUGCACAAAGCGUUGUUUGACUUGUUUAUGGGCAAAUCUCCAGCAUGUCAAAUGCCUUUUAAAGAUGGGAGAUCAUGUGAUUACCUUUUGAAAGUGCACUUGACUACGGUGAUGUGGAAUCAAAAUGCUGCCAGUACUGCUGCCACAUUGUGAGUGAAUUUUAAAUCAUGUUUUUUUACUAUAAAGAUACAAAAACAGACAACAUUUUACAGACCAGAGGAGGCAGUUUCAUUCAGCAGACUUGUUUGGUUAGCUAGUAGCUACCUUUCCCAAAUAUCUCAUCCAGAUGUGUUUUAAAAAGUGUCACGAUCUCCACUACAGGUGUACAACUUGGUUGCUUCUUCUAAAUUUCCAAAGUUCCUUAAGCGAAGUACUUCAUGAAUACUGACUUAAAGGGUAAAUGUGGUAUUUUUCAAGACAAAAUCAUCUGUUCACUAUCAUGGUAUGUAUCAAUUUCCUACACUUGCCCUGCCCCAUGACUUCCAUUUGAAAAUACAAGAACAGGCUCCGUAUUGUUUUUAAUUUAUAAAAAUAAGUUCACAUUAGAACACAAUUUCAUGAGACAAGCUAACGCUGCAUAUACCAGGAUUGUGAGGAAAUAAUUUUGACUUGGAAAAUACGAAACUUAUCCUUUAAUGCACUUCUCUUUAAUUUUUGCCAGUUUUUUUCACCUGCACAGAGGAACUUUGUUGGCUGAACAUUCGUGAGACUCUAGGAAAAGAGGAAAACGAUCUGGACACCAUGGUGACGAUGGAGGUUUCCUGCUGCCAUUGCCAAUGUGCUGAGGGCUGGGUGAUAUUCUGCCUGGAGAUAGGGUGCACAGGAUUCAAGAUUACCGGAAGGGAAGACGAGCUAAGCCAUAACCAACUUCCUCAUUCCUCUCCAGGCCACGACCUCUUAUUGACUUCACUUCGCUGCUACUCCCUUUUGGAUCCGCCUCUUCCUGUCCCCUACCUAUAAAAGCCAAUCUCUACCCUUUUCUUUUCAGUCCUGCUUUGGACACAGUCUCUUGUGACUACUCUGUGCUCCGCAAUAUAGGGGGGUAGAUCCUCAAACUUUUUUCAUUUGUCUGCUUGUAUUUACUAUAUAUAUACUGUAUAAACCUGAAAUGUUUCAUUUUAUUUUAAAUGUUCUUCUUUCUCAUCCAUACUUUGAUGAUCUGCUUCUGACAUCUUUAGCAGUAAGGUACGAGUUAAUUUUGCACAUUAUGAUGUACAAGUAUUUGGCAGGUUUUGUUUAUUAAAUUGCUCAAGCUAUGACAAGUAUGUUGAGAAUUGGUAAUGUCUUGCAAGUUCAAGGUCUUACCUGAGAGUUCUCAAUAAGGUCAGAACUCUGAUGAAGAUAUUUAUUAAUUUUACUCAUUGUUCAUUUUAAGACACUUCAUUCAUUGUUGCUUUGUUGGCAUCCUCUGGAUCAUUGACUGGGAUAAGGGCUUUGACUUUAAUCCAGUGUUGUGCUCAAGUCAUGUUUCCAUUAAUCCUGACAAGGUUACUAGUCUGUAUUGCUAAAAAACAUCCCUAAUAAUACAACACCAUUACCUCCAUACGUUAUGGUGGGAUGGUGUGUGCGAGAUGACGUAUUAUUUGUAUCCCACAUAACACUUUGCACUUUUCAUUUUAGUUUUCAUCAGACCACAAGACUGCAAUGACAGUUUAUUAGCAAAGAUAUGUUUUUUUUCUGUCAUCACACAAAUUUGUCACGGACUGCCUUGAAGAUUUUUAACCUCUAAACAACAUGUUUACUUUUUGUAACUUUUUUUGGGCCUGUCCAAACCUGUCCUUCUUAAUAAUCACAUCUCCAACUUGUUUGGAAUACUUUGUUUUGAAAUAAUGUACUGUACUGUAAUGGGAAAGGAGAAGGAGAUGUUCAUUCAUAUCUGGAAGGUCCAUAUAAAGAGUAGAUUGGACUGGGUGGUCAGGAUCAUGGCAAAUGACAAAUGAAUUUAUGGUAAGCAAUAAAAUGGAAUUAAGUGUGUUUAAACAUUGCUGUUAUUGAUGGUACUGGAGGGUGGUGACGUGUUCCACGUUGGCCAGACGUGCAGGUCAGACAUGUCAUAGGAGUAGGACUACUGCAGUACUAUGUGGCAGUGGUGGCCUGCACCCAGUCCUCGUCUCCCUGUAUCUCGGUCCUCUUAGGCUAUUCUGGUUUGCCUCUCGUAUCCCCAUAAGGCUGAUUAUUGUAAAUUUGCUCAUUGUGUGUGUGUGUGUGUGAGAGAUGCAUGACUGGGCCCUGUAUUAUACUGGUAACCUAAACAGGACUAGCUCCUGAUUUUCUGGAUUUGCUGAGAUGGGGUUUAGAUAUUUGUAACCUUGAAUUAGAUUAAGAGAGGUGGAAAAUGUCCGCUUACUAUAUCGGGGAGCCUUGAAACAAGAGAGGGACAGAGAGAGAAAGAUGGCGGAUGCUCUCAUGUUAGUUUAAACUGAAAUUUGAGAAUAAAAUCAGCAAAUUGUGUAAUGGAAUAAGAACUGCUGUAGCUGAGCAACUGGUAAGCUACAAACAGGGGAAAUACUAUUUUAAUCUGAUGAGUUCUGCUUUUCAUGUUAUGAAAAUCAUGUUGAACAUUUUAACAUGUUCUGUUUGAUCUGCUUUGUAAUUCAGCUUAUUUCAAACUCAAAACAGAACAGAGUUGGGGGCUGAACAUGCUUUCAGGACCCUGUAUAGACACGGUGUUGUUUAUAUAACAGAGUCUUCCUAGUAUGCAGGUAACAGUGAAAGGGAUACCAGACCAGUAAAGAUAAUUAAGACAAAUACUCACACUCCAUUAUUCACUGUGAAACCAAGAAUGGAAUCCUCACACCCCAUAAGUCAACUAGAAAACCUUGUGUACUCAAUAGAAGAAUGAAUGGACUACUGAACCAAGCCAGAUGAGUAGCAACAUCUUUUUAUACUGAGUGUACACACACACACACACACACACAUCUUCAGACUGUCUAUUUCCACUUCAGUCAUGAAGGGCCGAAGCCUGUCCCUGCCACACUAGGCACAAGUUACGAAAGAGCCCUCCAUCAGAGGAGCAGAGUCGCUGGCAUGAGGUGGCUGUACGAGCCAAUGCACCCCCAUGCCAACACACACACACGCAUGCAAUAUUAGAUUGUAAUGACACACAAAUCUCAGAAUACACGUCUUCAUUUUGGGUUGAUGAGAACAGACAUAAUUAAAGAAACCCCAGUGUCCCCCGAUAGAAGACGUGUGUGCCGAUGCUUUGGGUGUACAAACUUGGCUUAACGUUUUGUGUUACUAUUCUGCCAGCCAGUGCAGUUCUGUGUUUUGCAAUUUAAAAAAAAGAGAAAAUCACUGUGUGCAAGAAAAGGUACUGUGGGAAUAAACGGACAAAUCUUAUUGCUAUAUGUAGCUUUUCAGGGAAAUGACUUAUGUUUUUCACAGGAUGCUUUUUAGUACAAAAGAGUGUUACUUCAUGAUUGGGUUUCUGCCCCAGUGUUUCUGUAGUAAAUUAAAAAAGAAAGAAAAAUAGGUCCUUGAAAAGCAGAGCUCUUAUUUACUGUCCUUCCAAGUCUCGAUAC